GAGAGAGAGAGAGAGAGGGGGGUGCCGUCGCAUGUGCAGGACCAAAAAGUGAAGAGGCAAAUUAGCUUGUUAUCCCCCAAAGAAGCUUCACCUUCAGAGAGAAGCGUGAGGAGGCUGAAAAACAGGAGGAAGACGUUGCUUCUCUGGUGAUUUAAAGGUGACAUGACGAGCCUCACGUCCCUCAAACCCCAGCUAGUUUCUGACAGCGUUUCACAGCUGUGACGGGAGUUUCUGCUGUCGGGUGCCUGACUGUGUUCGGUGGAUUGCAAACAGGACUUGCACCAGAAGAGGGGAUAAAGGGCAGGAGCGGGAACAGAAGUCUCCUCAUCCCUCCUCUGACCCGCAGAUCCGAAUAGGAACUUUAGCUGGGAAGCUCUUUUCUGAGAGCAUGGUUGGAUUUAUGACUAUGUGCUGAGGAUAUUGGAUGAACAAUUGACGGCACGUUUCUUCCCACCGUAUCUCACAGCUGGUGCUCCUGCCAUGUCCUGGCUCCUGUGUCUGUGGAUAAGUGUUAGCUGCUUACUGCUGUGCCACGCCACUUUGUACGAGACCAUCCAGCAGCAUCAUGUGACCCACCCGGGCCGCAACGCCAUACAGAUUCUGGAGGGAGGAACAUGUGAGGUCAUCGCAGCACACCGAUGUUGCAACAAAAACCGCAUUGAGGAGCGUUCCCAGACAGUCAAGUGCUCAUGUUUACCAGGAAAAGUGGCCGGCACAACACGGAACAAACCCUCCUGUGUAGACGCCUCUAUCGUGAUUGGAAAGUGGUGGUGUGAGAUGGAGCCGUGUCUGGAGGGAGAGGAGUGUAAGACACUACCAGACAACUCCGGCUGGAUGUGUUCCUCUGGAAACAAGAUCAAGACCACGAGGAACACCCAGCCUUAUUCAACGUUUUAGCUCUGAGGGCCACCGAAGCUGGCUCGCCUGAAGCUCAGUGGUGUCCUUCUCCUCAUCAAGAGAGGGACCCCUCCUUGCCUGUAGCUCCAGACAAGGCAGGCCUCUUUUGAGGAAGGCACUCAGUGAGAGAGGCUGAGAGAUGCCCUCACCCUCGCCCUGCAUAGACCUACUUUUACCUGUUCCUAAUGGCCAUAUCUUUCAGUUGCUUAAAAUACAACCAAAAUCACUGUGUAAACAAAAAGACAAAGUUUACAUCUUCCCCCAGUUUAUGUAUCUUCAUUUUCCUCAUUUGAGAACAGAGAUGGACUCAACCUGUAGCUAUUGCACAGCUGUGAGCCAUUUUCUCCAGGCUGGAUAAAUCACCUCGGGACUGGCCUCUAAAUCCAGCUGGUCUCGAGCGUCAGAGGCCAGAACAAUUUCGGUGGAUAAGAAUCCUAAUCUUAUUAGUAUUCAUAGGUAUCUAUAAACACAUUUAGAUGAUGUUGAAAUGUAUAACAUGGACAUAUUGAUGGUAUCUAAAAUCUAUUUACUUAUGCAGAGAUUUAGAAACAUAAAUAUAUGAUUCCUUUAUAUUAUAUUUAUAUUACAGAUAUAUCUCUAUAGUUAAAUUUUUUACAGUUGUAGACAUUUCUGAGCCCAUAAACCCACAAUUAACCACUUUUCUACUGUGUAAAAAAGUAAUAGGUGGAUAAAUGUACAAUGACAUGCAUUUUAGUUACAAUUUAACUUACUAUUAUAUUGAUAUUUUUAAGUCUUAUUUUUCAUGAAGCAACUAGUUAAAAGACAAGCAAGACAUGCAAGAUCAAACAUUGUAACGCUUGAAGGUUUCAGUGAUUCAUGGGUGGCCAGUGGUCUAAGAGUUAAAUUGUGGCCUUUUUCUCACAUAAAUCUAUCAUAUGGUUCAUGGUGACUUUAAUGUAUUACGUCUGUUAUUAUAUGGUGCAUUUGUCAUUCUUUGUUGAAGUACUUUGUUGAGAUAAAUGCAUUAAAUACAUUAAAUGUGAUGGGAUUGAACAUAUUUCAUAAAUCUCACCAGUGAAAUACAAUUUGAUCAACCUAAUAAUUCCAUUAAUUCAAUAUUAUAUUAAGCUAAAAAGGUUUGGAAACUAUUUAUAUAUCUCGAAGGUUGUUUAUAUGUGACAUGCAUACAAUUUAGAUGCUGUCAAUAUGUUAUUAUUGUACAUUUCAGUUUCUGUGUCCAUGUACAAAAAUGUCCUAGAACUACACUUUAAUGAGAUAAGUAAGGCGUAAGGAGUGUGAGUACUCAAAUCCAGCCAAUUUGUCCAGAAACUUUUCCUGCAUGUUCUACAAAUAAACACUUUUACAAGGAAACAGCAUGUUCAGUUCUCAGAAAAUGUAAUGGCUUGUCGUUUCCUCUGUUUGAAACACGUUCUUAACAAGAGGCUUUUUUACAAGAUACCUAUCUAUGCUGUUUAAAGAAUCCCAUCUGUUUGGAUUUUCAGAGCAAAAGUAAUCUGCCAAGUGAUGGUUUAAGAUUAAAUCACAUGAUGAUUAAGUCAGUUUGUCCCAAGAUUCCUGUUAAACCCAGAGCCGUGAUUGUAUCUGUAUCUCUUUCAGCUGUCAAUGUCACUUUAAAUUAAUUUUAACACAUCCAUGCUGUCUGGAGUCUUGCUGUAUGCUAAGUCACAUUCAACAGCUGCAUAGUCUAAACCAGAUUACAUUUUAGUGCAUGGAACACAACAAAAUUGAGAUAUCAUUUGAGAAUAGAAAAGCAAAUGGUGUACAACAAAUGUCUUUGGGAUGUGCU